rnacentral:rRNA from 1 species
GACAGAGGAUGCAAGCGUUAUCCGGAAUGAUUGGGCGUAAAGCGUCUGUAGGUGGCUUUUUAAGUCUGCCGUCAAAUCCCAGGGCUUAACCCUGGACAGGCGGUGGAAACUACCAAGCUGGAGUACGGUAGGGGCAGGGGGAAUUCCCGGUGUAGCGGUGAAAUGCGCAGAUAUCGGGAAGAACACCCGUGGCGAAGGCGGCAUCCUGGACCGACACUGACGCUGAGGAGCGAAAGCCAGGGGAGCAAACGGG